GGGUAUAGGAAAACCUACAAAGCACUUCAAAAAAAAAACAGAUUCGGAGUGUUUCUAGUGGCCAUGCGGGCGAACGGCGGGAGCGCGGCGGAGGAGGAGGGGGCCACACUAGGCUGGGAAGAUCUUCGCGGCGCGCGCGCAGGGCACGUAGCCGCCGCGGCCGGUACCGCGACCGCAAGCUGCUAAAGCCUGCCGGGAAGUAGUAGGACUCCCUCGUCCUCUCGUUCAGGGCGGACGCCCCCGAGCUGCGCGUGUUCCGGUUGCAGCGGCGGCCGUUCCGGCAGCGCGCGUCGGAGGCGUGGAGGGAGCCGGGGUUCCCGUACCUGUUCUAAGAGGUUAGGGGGCUGCCGCUGCAGUGGUAGUGUUUACUGCCUCGCUGCUAGGACCUCGUUUACCUACAACUGUUGGUCUAACGUUUCGACUACCACCUCGAAAGGGCAUCAGUUCUGAUACUUUAACCCCUACCAUGAUGGCCCCACCACCAGGACCGGCCCAGCGAGGACCUCGUUCGACUCUUUGACGAUCUCGCACCAUAAGUGGGCUAAUCUUAACGGCUUCCUAUACUCUACCGGAGGUUCUAUCGAAAACUAGUGGAACUUGUAUAGAGGUGAUCUAAACUCAAGUGACGACGUUUAUAUCUCGGGAACCACGUCUGGACGUACUGUUGAGACAGGAGUUUCUAACAAUUGGCAACAUUCGCCUACGAACGACUCUAACGACAGUCCCGUCAGGAACGACAACGACUAAACCUUUCCUUCCUACAUUUGAACCUGAACUAAUUUCAUCUUCCAUUUCAACCACCCUUCGAUCUCCUGUGACUCGAUUAUAUGCCUUAGCGACAACUGUUUCUAUACUCGGUGGGUGUUUACGGUUUCUCUUAGCUCCUACGAUUAUAACGGUAGGAAUGGACGGGUAAACUCGGGGGUUUCGGGUUCUGUUUCGUAUUCCAACUGUAACUGUGACAUCUUUUUAAGGUCUGCUACGCACCUGUUCUCGUCUUUAUGAAACUACUUUACCAAGUCUUUACGUUCCUACAACCACGUUGGAAUCAAUAGACAGUUACCCCAAAACUACUACUUCGGUUAGUAAACGAAUACGUUUCUUUAGACGGACGACAGUCUACCCAACCACCACAACUUAACCUUAACUAACGGUAUCGAUGUCCCCCUGCAUAACAAGGUUCUAAGGUUCUCAACUGAGGACUAUUCGAACCCGUCCGACCUAACCAAUCUCUCUUCAGUAAACCUUGUUGUUUCCUAGCUUACGAAACGUAACUCUCCACACGUUUAAGGUCUCGACAUUGAUAGAAGUAGGCACCGCCGUUGUUUUACUACUAACUCCUCCGGUUCGCUUCAUAAGUGCUGCGAGACACACACCGAUCUUUAGACUAGGCGUUAUUGAGAUAACAAAUACCACCGCCGAGUCGACUCUAUAGAACGAGACAACGACAGCUUCGACGUCGUCUAGCUAUACGACCUCGGCUCGUCAUACGUUAGUCCAGCAAACGACUACGCGACCUACCCUAAGGUGAUCGGAACCGACUUUUGUCACCAAACGGUGGAUAACUAUGUAACUGACGUCAUUUUAGAGUCGUUUAAGUCCUCUUGUUAGGGAUGACACCGUAGCUGACGUUACUGCAGCCCUGUUUGCUAUACUCUCUCGUCGUGCAGAAACUUUGGGACUAACCGUUCGUUGUUGUCUAUAAUAACCGUUGUGUCCAACACUUCUACUAAGAGUUCUAGCUGCUACAAUAGUGCGGCAGUCUCAAGACUCAUGACUACUACAACGUUCGUACCCGUUGACACGACCUAUUGUUCGGUAGUAAUAUGGUACGUCGUAACGACUUCGUCAACCUAACCGGUGAACGAACAUGGAAUCCGGAUAUAAAACGAACACUGCGAACGACUUCUGGAACCAAAGACGCAAGAGUGUAGAACAAUGUACUUAUUACUUGUUAGAGAGAAAAAAGACAUAAAAGGCUACGAAUCACGAAAUCAGACUCACGGAAGAUGGUAAUAAAUAAAUAAGUAGUCACAUGGUUAACGUAAAUUAGACAAGACGAUGUCCCCUUCAUACGUCUUUAUACUUUUAUGUGCUAUUAUCCGACCAGUGAACCACCCCAAGUGAAGCGGAUCGGCGAGUCCACAUGAGCACGUCAUUCGUGCGGUAAAUUUUCCGGUACUUUUCAAAAAGGGAUGUUAUAAGAAUCUUAUAUGUAAAUCUUAACACGAUCAACCAGAUUACUUGACUUACAAAUACAAUUGAUCUGUUAUGAAGAACGCAACGACACGUUUGACCAACAUUAUAUAAAGUUAUUUUCCGACAUAUGUAUACUC
rnacentral:rRNA from 1 species